rnacentral:rRNA from 1 species
GAUGAACGCUAGCGACAGGCCUAACACAUGCAAGUCGAGGGGCAGCACAAGAUAGCUUGCUAUUGAGGUGGCGACCGGCGCACGGGUGAGUAACGCGUAUGCAACCUGCCUGUAAGAAGGGGAUAGCCUCUUGAAAAAGAGAUUAAUACCGUAUAAUACUUAUGAGCUGCAUGGUUUAUAAGUUAAACAUUUAUGGCUUACAGAUGGGCAUGCGUAACAUUAGCUAGUUGGUAAGGUAACGGCUUACCAAGGCGGCGAUGUUUAGGGGUUCUGAGAGGAAGGUCCCCCACACUGGUACUGAGACACGGACCAGACUCCUACGGGAGGCAGCAGUGAGGAAUAUUGGUCAAUGGACGCAAGUCUGAACCAGCCAAGUCGCGUGAAGGAUGAAGGUCUUAUGGAUUGUAAACUUCUUUUAUAUGGGAAUAAAAAACGUCACGUGUGAUGUAUUGCAUGUACCAUAUGAAUAAGGAUCGGCUAACUCCG